rnacentral:rRNA from 1 species
AUGAACGCUGGCGGCGUGCCUAAUACCUGCCAGUCGCGCGAACAGACGAGGAGCUUGCUCCUCUGACGUUAGCGGCGGACGGGUGAGUAACACGUGGAUAACCUACCUAUAAGACUGGGAUAACUUCGGGAAACCGGAGCUAAUACCGGAUAAUAUAUUGAACCGCAUGGUUCAAUAGUGAAAGACGGUUUUGCUGUCACUUAUAGAUGGAUCCGCGCCGCAUUAGCUAGUUGGUAAGGUAACGGCCUACCAAGGCAACGAUGCGUAGCCGACCUGAGAGGGUGAUCGGCCACACUGGAACUGAGACACGGUCCAGACUCCUACGGGAGGCAGCAGUAGGGAAUCUUCCGCAAUGGGCGAAAGCCUGACGGAGCAACGCCGCGUGAGUGAUGAAGGUCUUCGGAUCGUAAAACUCUGUUAUUAGGGAAGAACAAAUGUGUAAGUAACUAUGCACGUCUUGACGGUACCUAAUCAGAAAGCCACGGCUAACUACGUG